CCCUUAGAUGUUCUGGGCCGCACGCGCGCUACACUGACUACUUCAACGAGUUGUUUCCUUGAUCGAAAGGUCUGGGUAAUCUUUGAAAGGUAGUCGUGGUGGGGAUAGAUCCUUGCAAUUUUUGAUCUUCAACGAGGAAUUCCUAGUAAACGCAAGUCAUCAGCUUGCAUUGAUUACGUCCCUGCCCUUUGUACACACCGCCCGUCGCACCUACCGAUUGAAUGGUCCGGUGAAGCCUCCGGAUUGGCGCGCACCUCGGUGCCGCCGAGAAGUUGGCUAAACCUUACCAUUUAGAGGAAGGUGAANUCGUANCA
rnacentral:rRNA from 1 species